CAGGUCAAAACGUGGUUUCAGAAUCGCAGAGCCAAAUGGAGGCGUCUAAAGCAGGAGAACCCCCAGGCCACCAAAAAAGAAGAAGCGGAAGGUGCUGACAGUCACAGUGACCAAAGGCUGGAGAGCUGCCCGACCCCCGAGCAGAAGGGUAAGGAGGUCUCCCUGGACGGCUCGCAGUACACCCCCUCGCCGGCCUCACAGGAGGACCUGGAGUCAGACGUCUCCGACGACUCUGAUCAAGAGGUGGACAUUGAAGGCGAUAAAGGCUAUUACAAUCCUGCCCACUAAUGGCCCCGUGCGGAGAGCGGACCCUAACUCGGCUUGCACUUUACCAGGGGCUGGUUUGGAAGAAUAUUAUGCUACAGGAGAAAACUUUCACCGUUCCACUGAAAGAAAGAAAACCCGACACCAAAUAGACUCGUUUUAUAAUAAGCAGAGAAAGAAAGAUGUAUUUUCCGCAAACAGUCCAUUUUUGGCAGAUCUCUAAUUUGGUUAAAGGAACAUGGUUUGUAUUUAAUUACUUGUAAGAUAUAUUUGUACAUUAAUCGAUGUCCUAACUGGAAUACUAUACUGCACCCUGUCCUUACUCACAGGGGGUCUGAAUCAGCUGCUGGUGGUGAUCAGGCAAAACUUCUCUCUAGCUAGUGUGGAAGUGAGUAUGGAUUGCAGGACUAAGCCCUUUGUAUGUGUAAACAAAUGUAGUUUAAAUAGAUUAAUUUAAAUGCCUUUUGCAAACAGAGAAACAUGUUCUGUGAAAUAGGGAGGGGUUUGACCAUCCCGACAAGUGCCUUAUGCUCACACCCUUUUACCUGCCGUGGUGCUCUCCACCGAGACAUCCCUCCGUUCAUCAGGUAGAAUCUUUGGACAGAUGCAUUUUUGCUCUUGCGUGACACGAAAUGUGCCUUCUCAGAUUUUUGAGGACUUUGCCCUGCAAUCUGGAUGGUUCCAUUUGCAGGAAAAAAAACCCAUACUUUUCUCCUUGAAAAUCUCUAGUGCUGUUUUUUACAGAUUUUGUAUUUGAGAAGAAAAUGCGGGGAGUGAUAGGGUCCUGCUGCAGGAGAGAAACUGUCAUGAGCUGUGGAGGAUAAGUGAGGCACACAGCCGUGGGAAGAUAAUGCCUAUUGUAUACAUAUCUGCUUCUGUACAUACUAGUUUUCUUUAAAAGUCUUGCGGUUUUAUACCUCACGUUGUUCAUAUUUUGUACAUAUUUGUUCAAUGUUUAAAAAAAAAAAAAGCAAAACCUGGUAUUUAAUUUGUGAUGGACUUGUCUGUGAAAUAAAACUAAACUCUGCACCCCCUG